AUUGCCACUAGAGGCAUUGCAGGUGUGACUGUUAUGUCACAUGGGUACUUUAGUAGAAGACAGAGAAGAAGGAGGCUAUGUCCGUGCCCAAUGAUCAGACCUGUGAAUGAUCAGUAGAUUUACAUU
rnacentral:snoRNA from 1 species